rnacentral:rRNA from 1 species
UGAGGAAUAUUGGUCAAUGGGCGCAAGCCUGAACCAGCCAAGUAGCGUGCAGGAGGACGGCCCUAUGGGUUGUAAACUGCUUUUAUACGAGAAUAAUUUGAUGCACGUGUGCGUUAUUGCAUGUAUCGUAUGAAUAAGGACCGGCUAAUUCCGUGCCAGCAGCCGCGGUAAUACGGAAGGUCCAGGCGUUAUCCGGAUUUAUUGGGUUUAAAGGGAGUGUAGGCGGUUUGUUAAGCGUGUUGUGAAAUUUAGAUGCUCAACAUUUAACUUGCAGCGCGAACUGUCAGACUUGAGUACACGCAACGUAUGCGGAAUUCAUGGUGUAGCGGUGAAAUGCUUAGAUAUCAUGAAGAACUCCGAUUGCGAAGGCAGCAUACGGGAGUGUAACUGACGCUUAAGCUCGAAGGUGCGGGUAUCGAACAGGAUUAGAUACCCUGGUAGUCCGCACAGUAAACGAUGGAUGCCCGCUGUUAGCGCCUGGCGUUAGCGGCUAAGCGAAAGCAUUAAGCAUCCCACCUGGGGAGUACGCCGGCAACGGUG